rnacentral:rRNA from 2 species
UUAAGCGACUAAGCGUACACGGUGGAUGCCCUGGCAGUCAGAGGCGAUGAAGGACGUGCUAAUCUGCGAUAAGCGUCGGUAAGGUGAUAUGAACCGUUAUAACCGGCGAUUUCCGAAUGGGGAAACCCAGUGUGUUUCGACACACUAUCAUUAACUGAAUCCAUAGGUUAAUGAGGCGAACCGGGGGAACUGAAACAUCUAAGUACCCCGAGGAAAAGAAAUCAACCGAGAUUCCCCCAGUAGCGGCGAGCGAACGGGGAGGAGCCCAGAGCCUGAAUCAGUGUGUGUGUUAGUGGAAGCGUCUGGAAAGGCGCGCGAUACAGGGUGACAGCCCCGUACACAAAAAUGCACAUACUGUGAGCUCGAUGAGUAGGGCGGGACACGUGGUAUCCUGUCUGAAUAUGGGGGGACCAUCCUCCAAGGCUAAAUACUCCUGACUGACCGAUAGUGAACCAGUACCGUGAGGGAAAGGCGAAAAGAACCCCGGCGAGGGGAGUGAAAAAGAACCUGAAACCGUGUACGUACAAGCAGUGGGAGCACGCUUCGGCGUGUGACUGCGUACCUUUUGUAUAAUGGGUCAGCGACUUAUAUUCUGUAGCAAGGUUAACCGAAUAGGGGAGCCGAAGGGAAACCGAGUCUUAACUGGGCGUUAAGUUGCAGGGUAUAGACCCGAAACCCGGUGAUCUAGCCAUGGGCAGGUUGAAGGUUGGGUAACACUAACUGGAGGACCGAACCGACUAAUGUUGAAAAAUUAGCGGAUGACUUGUGGCUGGGGGUGAAAGGCCAAUCAAACCGGGAGAUAGCUGGUUCUCCCCGAAAGCUAUUUAGGUAGCGCCUCGUGAAUUCAUCUCCGGGGGUAGAGCACUGUUUCGGCAAGGGGGUCAUCCCGACUUACCAACCCGAUGCAAACUGCGAAUACCGGAGAAUGUUAUCACGGGAGACACACGGCGGGUGCUAACGUCCGUCGUGAAGAGGGAAACAACCCAGACCGCCAGCUAAGGUCCCAAAGUCAUGGUUAAGUGGGAAACGAUGUGGGAAGGCCCAGACAGCCAGGAUGUUGGCUUAGAAGCAGCCAUCAUUUAAAGAAAGCGUAAUAGCUCACUGGUCGAGUCGGCCUGCGCGGAAGAUGUAACGGGGCUAAACCAUGCACCGAAGCUGCGGCAGCGACACUAUGUGUUGUUGGGUAGGGGAGCGUUCUGUAAGCCUGCGAAGGUGUACUGUGAGGUAUGCUGGAGGUAUCAGAAGUGCGAAUGCUGACAUAAGUAACGAUAAAGCGGGUGAAAAGCCCGCUCGCCGGAAGACCAAGGGUUCCUGUCCAACGUUAAUCGGGGCAGGGUGAGUCGACCCCUAAGGCGAGGCCGAAAGGCGUAGUCGAUGGGAAACAGGUUAAUAUUCCUGUACUUGGUGUUACUGCGAAGGGGGGACGGAGAAGGCUAUGUUGGCCGGGCGACGGUUGUCCCGGUUUAAGCGUGUAGGCUGAUUUUCCAGGCAAAUCCGGAAAAUCAAGGCUGAGGCGUGAUGACGAGGCACUACGGUGCUGAAGCAACAAAUGCCCUGCUUCCAGGAAAAGCCUCUAAGCAUCAGGUAACAUCAAAUCGUACCCCAAACCGACACAGGUGGUCAGGUAGAGAAUACCAAGGCGCUUGAGAGAACUCGGGUGAAGGAACUAGGCAAAAUGGUGCCGUAACUUCGGGAGAAGGCACGCUGAUAUGUAGGUGAAGUCCCUCGCGGAUGGAGCUGAAAUCAGUCGAAGAUACCAGCUGGCUGCAACUGUUUAUUAAAAACACAGCACUGUGCAAACACGAAAGUGGACGUAUACGGUGUGACGCCUGCCCGGUGCCGGAAGGUUAAUUGAUGGGGUCAGCGCAAGCGAAGCUCUUGAUCGAAGCCCCGGUAAACGGCGGCCGUAACUAUAACGGUCCUAAGGUAGCGAAAUUCCUUGUCGGGUAAGUUCCGACCUGCACGAAUGGCGUAAUGAUGGCCAGGCUGUCUCCACCCGAGACUCAGUGAAAUUGAACUCGCUGUGAAGAUGCAGUGUACCCGCGGCAAGACGGAAAGACCCCGUGAACCUUUACUAUAGCUUGACACUGAACAUUGAGCCUUGAUGUGUAGGAUAGGUGGGAGGCUUUGAAGUGUGGACGCCAGUCUGCAUGGAGCCGACCUUGAAAUACCACCCUUUAAUGUUUGAUGUUCUAACGUUGACCCGUAAUCCGGGUUGCGGACAGUGUCUGGUGGGUAGUUUGACUGGGGCGGUCUCCUCCUAAAGAGUAACGGAGGAGCACGAAGGUUGGCUAAUCCUGGUCGGACAUCAGGAGGUUAGUGCAAUGGCAUAAGCCAGCUUGACUGCGAGCGUGACGGCGCGAGCAGGUGCGAAAGCAGGUCAUAGUGAUCCGGUGGUUCUGAAUGGAAGGGCCAUCGCUCAACGGAUAAAAGGUACUCCGGGGAUAACAGGCUGAUACCGCCCAAGAGUUCAUAUCGACGGCGGUGUUUGGCACCUCGAUGUCGGCUCAUCACAUCCUGGGGCUGAAGUAGGUCCCAAGGGUAUGGCUGUUCGCCAUUUAAAGUGGUACGCGAGCUGGGUUUAGAACGUCGUGAGACAGUUCGGUCCCUAUCUGCCGUGGGCGCUGGAGAACUGAGGGGGGCUGCUCCUAGUACGAGAGGACCGGAGUGGACGCAUCACUGGUGUUCGGGUUGUCAUGCCAAUGGCACUGCCCGGUAGCUAAAUGCGGAAGAGAUAAGUGCUGAAAGCAUCUAAGCACGAAACUUGCCCCGAGAUGAGUUCUCCCUGACUCCUUGAGAGUCCUGAAGGAACGUUGAAGACGACGACGUUGAUAGGCCGGGUGUGUAAGCGCAGCGAUGCGUUGAGCUAACCGGUACUAAUGAACCGUGAGGCUUAACCUU